rnacentral:rRNA from 1 species
UUGGUAUUCCGAGGAGCAUGCCCGUUUGAGUGUCGUGAAAUCAUCAACCCCCUCAGAUUUUUGUGAGUUUGUUGGGAGGCUUGGAAUUGAGGGUUCUUGUUGGGAAGAGGGACCUUUCCUUCUUCUCCACUCCCUCGAAAGUCAUCGGCUUCCGGUGGACCCCUUGAUGCUACAUGGCGUGAUAGGCAAUAUCUACGUCUCUGCGGACGGGGUCGUGGCUGGGAUGCCCUUCAUUUACUUCACCUUUCUUUGACCUCAAAUCGGGUAGGACUCCCCGCUGAACUUAAGCAUAUCAAUAAGCGGAGGAAAAGAAACUAACAAGGAUUCCCCUAGUAACUGCGAGUGAAGCGGGAAGAGCUCAAAUUUAAAAUCUGGUGGCUUCGUCACCCGAGUUGUAAUCUGGAGAAGCGUUUUCUGUGCCGGACCGUGUACAAGUCUCUUGGAAUAGAGCGUCGUAGAGGGUGAGAAUCCCGUCUCUGACACGGAUCGCCGGUGCUUUGUGAUACGCUCUCGAAGAGUCGAGUUGUUUGGGAAUGCAGCUCAAAAUGGGUGGUAAAUUCCAUCUAAAGCUAAAUAUUGGCGAGAGACCGAUAGCGAACAAGUACCGUGAGGGAAAGAUGAAAAGCACUUUGGAAAGAGAGUUAAACAGUACGUGAAAUUGUUGAAAGGGAAACGCUUGAAGUCAGUCGCGUCGUGCAGGAUUCAGCCAGGCUCCUGCUUGGUGUACUUCCUGUUUGACGGGCCAGCAUCGAUUUUGGUCGGCAGACAAGGGCGUGGGGAAUGUGGCACCUCCGGGUGUGUUAUAGCCCCUCGUCGCACGUGUCGGCCGGGAUCGAGGACCGCAGCGUGCCUUCACGGGCCGGGGUUCGCCCA